rnacentral:rRNA from 1 species
AUUGAACGCUGGCGGCAGGCCUAACACAUGCAAGUCGAACGAGUGGCGGACGGGUGAGUAAUGUCUGGGAAUCUAGCUUAUGGAGGGGGAUAACUACGGGAAACUGUAGCUAAUACCGCGUACCAUAGGAUGAGCCCAAGUGGGAUUAGGUAUUUGGUGGGGUAAAGGUUCACCAAGCCGACGAUCUCUAGCUGGUCUGAGAGGAUGACCAGCCACACUGGGACUGAGCCACGGCCCAUACUCCACCGGGAGGCAGCAGUGGGGAAUAUUGCACAAUGGGGGAAACCCUGAUGCAGCCAGGCGGCGUGUAUGAAGAAGGCCUUAGGGUUGUAAAGUACUUUCAGUGGGGAGGCGGUAACCAAAGAAGAAGCACCGGCUAACUCCGUGCCAGCAGCGGCGGUAAUAC